AACGAACGCUGGCGGCAUGCCUAACACAUGCAAGUCGAACGAGACCUUCGGGUCUAGUGGCGCACGGGUGCGUAACGCGUGGGAACCUGCCUUUAGGUUCGGAAUAACUCAGAGAAAUUUGAGCUAAUACCGGAUGAUGUCUUCGGACCAAAGAUUUAUCGCCUUUAGAUGGGCCCGCGUUGGAUUAGCUAGUUGGUGGGGUAAAGGCCUACCAAGGCGACGAUCCAUAGCUGGUCUGAGAGGAUGAUCAGCCACACUGGGACUGAGACACGGCCCAGACUCCUACGGGGGGCAGCAGUGGGGAAUAUUGGACAAUGGGCGAAAGCCUGAUCCAGCAAUGCCGCGUGAGUGAUGAAGGCCUUAGGGUUGUAAAGCUCUUUUACCCGAGAUGAUAAUGACAGUAGCGGGAGAAUAAGCUCCGGCUAACUCCGUG
rnacentral:rRNA from 1 species